UCGGGAAUUUUGGGCAAUGGGCGAAAGCCUGACCCAGCAACGCCGCGUGAAGGAUGAAGUAUUUCGGUAUAUAAACUUCGAAAGAAUAGGAAGAAUAAAUGACGGUACUAUUUAUAAGGUUCGGCUAACUACGUGCCAGCAGCCGCGGUAAUACGUAGGGACCAAGCGUUGUUCGGAUUUACUGGGCGUAAAGGGCGCGUAGGCGGCAUGACAAGUCACUUGUGAAAUCUCUGGGCUUAACCCAGAACGGCCAAGUGAUACUGUCGCGCUAGAGUGCAGAAGGGGCAAUCGGAAUUCUUGGUGUAGCGGUGAAAUGCGUAGAUAUCAAGAGGAACACCUGAGGUGAAGACGGGUUGCUGGGCUGACACUGACGCUGAGGCGCGAAAGCUAGGGGAGCAAACGGGAUUAGAUACCCUCGUAGUCCCUGAGCGGGCUGGCAAGGCGCAU
rnacentral:rRNA from 1 species